AAGGGUGUGAAGCCGCCUUGGGUACCCUUUCCCACCCGAAUUUUACAAUGUACAGUUAUGAAUUUUUGUAUCACUAAAGUAAGACCACGAAUUUUACAUUUUAUAUGUAUUAUGUAAGGGUUAAAUCUGUCUACUGUAGAACUUUCGUUUAACAUUGUCAGUGGUGUAAGACGAGCGAAUUAGCCUUGUCAGUGGUUUAAGAUGGGACGAAUUAACCGUGUCAGUGGUGUAAGAUGGGGAUCGUGCAAACAAAAACCGUCUACUCGUUUGGAUGGGACGAUUUAACAAAAGCGAGGUCUAGUGUAUAUAAUACCACUGGUAGUAUGUUAAAAUAUCCUGGCGGAAUUCGAAGUAAGAGUCGGCCGCUGUUCAGGCAAAAAUCUCUCUUGUAACAGAUUAUAUGGCGUUGUCGUCGCCAUACGCCAUCAUUAUCGCAGCUGGCGCAGAAAAGUACGAAAUUAAACCCAAUUUCAUUUCGAAGAGGUGAGAAGGGGGGGGGGGGGCAUUAAAUUAAUAUUUUUACAAACUGCCCUUCUUAAUCUAUUUAUUCUAUCUGUUUUGAUUAAAAUGUCUUCCUUUCCCACAUGUCUGAGUAGUCCUUGUACUUGAGUCUUGGGUGCAUAUCAAGGAGCCGGUCCCGGAUAUUUCCAAACCCUCAGUACGUCAGUGUUUCGACAGACAAUACACAGAGAGCCCCACACCAAGAAACUUCUUGCCCCAUACACGUUUUUGUUAAACAAUCAUCUAAAAAAUAAUAAUAAUAAUAAAAUGCGAUAUUUAACAAUAAAAUGGUGUAAUCGGUGCUGACCUCCGCGGUCUAAUUCUACAAGAACUAGAUUUUUAGUGUUUGGAUAAUCGUUAAAGGGACAAUAACACUCUUGCUGGCUUGAAAGCUGCGGAAAAUAAAUAAUAUCUCUAUCUAAGUACUAGAUGUUUAUGUGUCCUACCUGUUGUGUAAAUUAUCCAUUACAUCCUAUUUUACUUGUCCAGAGGGUUCGAAAAUAUUUUUAAAUCGAAGUUUCAUUUGAAAAGGUUUACGUUAGACGUUUCAAACCAUUAUGUUGAAUUUUUCAAAAUUUUUAAAUGAGGUGUGUUAAGAUGAAAUUUGUAUCAUCAAUUAAUUGAAAUAUUCUAAAAUAGUACAAUUUGUUGACCAGAAUAAAGAUUGGGACAUAUUAUUCAGUUACAACAAGAUGAUGAUGAUGAGUUAGUUGUAUUUUACUUCCGCUUCCACCGAGGUGAUAUCGCAGACAAGUUACAACAAGAGUGGUAUUGAGCCUUUAAUAUGGACCAAGACCAUGCAGUAACUACGAAUGAUCUGAUGAUCUUUUAGGGGCAUUUACUAACUGGAUAGAGCACUAAACUAUAACACAUACUUAUGGAAGAAAUGUGAGUGAUAUAGUUUAUUGAAUGAUCUGAUCAUUGACGGAACUGAUGAUAUUAUAGCAGAGGUAUAGGGGGUGUAAAGUGUCUUUUAUUUGUGUUGUAGAGCAAUCAUUACGUCGGAGGUGAUAUUUUUAACCCCAGUCAACAUCAAUUCCUCCUGACAAAAAAUCUAAACGUCAAUCCCCUACAAAAUUAUGAUGAGAGUGCCAAAUGAUGUAACCAUUGUGCCUAUAAAGAUUGAAACCUUUGUGCCAAUAAAGAUUGAAACCAUUCAAUAUUGAAGUCAGUGGACAAAUAAUUGCUAGUCUGAGCCCAGAUAGAAAGACGGGGGUUACCUCCCUUGUAUGCUCCCAAGAUAGGAGUGACAAAACAUGUUGAGUCCUAAACAACACGAAGAAAGAGAAAAGUGUUUUGUCGAGAGAUAGAUGGAUGACGGGCAUUUUAUUUGAUUUGAUACUUUUCUAAUCAUCUUCGAGAAAUGAAAUUUACAAUGACCCCAGAAUCUUCAUAUACAUCGAAAGUCGAAGAAUGGACCGAACGGGAAAUGCAGCUGAACAGAUUACAUGAAGAAGUAUUAGCUAAAAGAGAGUCUCUUUUGCGUACAUCUACAAAUUAUUUCAAACAACAGAGUCAUCGAGGUAAUACUGGACGCGAUAGAUUGAAUAUUACAACUAAUGCAACUUUACGAAACCAAUCUUUGAUUGAGGAUAUUGAAGAAUUAGAAGAUGAAAUAAUUGCUGAAAAUGAGAAAGUUCCAGCACCAAAGUUUUUAUUACUAAAGAAUAACUACUGGUCCAUGGUGAAGGGAAUGUUACCAUUAUGGGAAGAAGCUAUUGGAAUGAAACCAUCCAGACUGAGUUCAUCUUUACCAAGUCCAAAACCUAGAAGGACACCGAAACCUAGCAGAAGGAUUAAAUAAAUAUUUUACCAUACCCGCAACCCACUUUAAAAGUGGUGUAUAUUUUACUCGCCCCUCUCCGUCCAUCCCCUUACAGGUUUUCAUAGGAAACUUUAUUGGAAUGUACAGUUUUGAACCUAAUUUAUUAUGCGGUCCAUAGGUUUACCCAAAACUACCUGUAUUUUGCUUAAAAUAACACAUUUUUUUUUCUUAUUUUUUUAUAUGUAUAGCUGAUUAACAUACCCAAAAUUUUACUAAAUAAAGAGAAAAUAAAUGUAAGAAAGACAACUCUUAUUGUCUUCCCAGUGAUUAUGGAGUCAGACUAGUAAUUCUCUCCUCAUUGACUUCAAUUUUAAUAAACAUUUUUUAUCACAUUCUGAGUGUGGUUGGAUAGCCAAAUGGUUCGCGCAUGCGGGUUGCAUCAUAAGGUCUAUCAUUGAGUCAACUGCCGUGGUUUUGAUUCCCCAAUUGUACGUGACAAGGAGUGGUCUGUCCUACCUUGUGGGUUUUCUCCAGGUUCUCCGGUUUCCUUCCACUGCUAAAGACCCCUACGUGCAAGAGAGUUAUUGAAAUAAAAUUGAACCAUAUUAUAAAAGUACAGUUUUAAGGAAACUACAUGUUGUGUUGGAUAAUUGAAGAUGUUUUGGAUAAAUCUAUGGACCUUUUACAAUGUAUUGAUGUAUGUAAUGAAUGCUGUAAUAUAUAUUAACAUAGACUAAAAAAACAACUGCUCCAAAAUUCUUAAAGAUACAUUAUGCAAGAGCUAAAUCUGUCUAUUGCAGGUCUUUCUUUAGGCCUGAAAUGUUAUCUAGAUUAUUAAUUAGACAUUAAUUAACUUAUCCAGACCAUAAUCAACUCUAGAUGGCAUCACUAGCCAGCGAUCUUUGGUGGAUUGUGAGCCGAUUUACUGCAUAACUUUCCUUCACAAUUUAACGAUUAAAUGGAUAAUCGGUACUAUGCUGUUUAUCGUACUGAGUUUAGUAAUGGUGAUCAAGGCUAGGCGGAAAUUCGAUCGCUUUGUUCUCGGUUCAUAGUGGAUCAAUUUGAAUGAAAUUUUCAGCAAAUUGCCUUUACAUUAUCUAGUUUUUAACUAUUAUAGUGAGAACUGCCAACUCGUUAUCGAAUCCCCCAUAAUGUAUCUUUAAUUAACUCUUCAUGUCAUCUGGUGCUUCCAAUUUUCAUUAGAUUUGAAUCUGAUCUGCCGUUCAACAGCCAUUGAUGAUUAAAUGCAAAAGUGGAUAUUUAAGACUUUGUUAAUUAUCGUUAAGAGUUAAGUAAUUUGACUAAAAUUUUCAGUAUAUCCCCAUUACAUUAUCUUUUAUUUAACUAUUAUAGUGAGAACUAUCAGCUCUUUAUCUAAUCUCCCAUAAUGUAUCUUUAAUUGGAGAGUAGUUUUGUUUUAAUUGACCAGGAUCCCAAUCGCUGCCCAUCUUGUUGUUCUUGUGGGUGACACUUGUUGAAAAAUGCCUUGUUGAAAAUACUCCAGUUGUUGAUAGUUAGUUAGUCCCUUUAUUUAUUUAAUAUCUUUUUGGUUAAAGAAGCAUUAUUCAAGAGAUAAAUCUGUGUAUUGCAGGUCUUUAUUGUUAUAUAAAUUAUUUUUAACAUGACAAGCCCAUAAUCAACUGUCUAGGUCAUCAGAUGGCAGAGAUAUUAAAUAGAUUAGAACAUCCUCAAGAUUUAAUAAUUUUAACUUUAAAAUGGAUAAUCCUGAUUUUGUUUAUUAUUGUGCGUAUGGUACUUGACAAUCGAGACUAUCUCCGCUACAUCUUGACAAAACUUCAAACACACAUAACUGCCCUCAGAAUAAAGUAAUUUGACUGAAAUUUUCAAUAUAUUCAUAUAUCAUUAUCUAUUUUUAGACUAUUAUAACAAGAACCGCCAUCUCUUUAUUUAAAUCUUACAUAAUGCAUAAUGAAUGUAUAUGUGUAUAGAAGUACGUCUAUGUUUACGAUAAUAGAUAAAUACAUAAUAUAGAGAUUAAAGUAGAUAAAAUCCAAGUACUUCUUAUAGUUUGCCUUAGAUAAAUACAAAAUAUAUAUACAGAGAUUAAAGUAGAUAAAGUACCUGUAUGUUUACGGUAGAUAAAUACAUAAAUAAAUAAAAUGUAUGUCAAGGUUAACAAAUACCACUUGACUUCAUUGUGAUAUGCAUCAAAUCAUAAACUAGCUGUUUGCUCUUAAUUGUGCCUUUGCCCUCUUCAAAUAUUAUAUACUCUUCAAAAAAGUAGGGGAUAUUCAGAAACAAUACAAAACUGUGGAAAUGCACUGCUGUUUUUAUUAGAGGUAACCAGUGUAUGUUAAUAACAGGCCAAUUCCCUACACAUGAACCUAAACAGUUCAUAUGGGCGGCUUAUCUGACGGCCCCAUUUCACUCGCAAAGAGGUACACCGUUAAAAGUGAAAAUGGACGUUUUUGAUUUUUGUCUUAAUAAUGAGUAAUUGCUCCACCAAUCCUCAGACAUUCAGCAGUUCAUCGUGGCAUGCUCCUAAUCAACCGUCCAAUCACGAUUUGGGGCAAUCUGACCCACUCCUCUUGCAGUGCCUAGUCCAAUUCUUGCAGUGUUGUCGGUUGACGUUGAUGUCGUCGAACACGUCUCCCGAUCAAAUUAAACGUAAUACACUAAAGCAAAGAUACGCUAAACAGUAAAUCUUAUGCAAGAACCAAUAGGAAAGCAAACAUGGAUAGAUAAACCAGCACAUGGCAGUUUUCAUCACCCCUUCCUUGAAGUGUCAAAUUUGACAAUGAAUCCCUCCCGCUAUGGCGUUAUUGCAUGUCGCAUGCGAGUUCAGUGGUUCUGUUGGGGCGAUAAGUUCUUCAUCUGUGAACAUACUCUCAAAGCAUGUCAAGUGUCAAUGACUAUUUAUCAUAUCACAACCUGCAUAGAUAUUUGCAUUCCAAUGUCCUCUACUGUUUUUUUGAAGAGUAUAUAUAGGCUACAAGUAAAAUUGAAGUAUUUUUAACUGAGAGUUAUUGGACAUAUAUACAUGUAUACAAUUAACACACAUGUUUGUGUAUUACACAGUUAAAAUUCCAGAUAACUUGAUGCUAUUCUCAGAUUAUUAAUGAUUUAUAUACCCUUAUUAAACUUUAUCUUUCUGUAUGUAUUUUAUAUAUGAUAAUAAAAUCAUAGAAGAUACCAGUAGACUUGUUUAUCUCUGUAAUAAAUUAUUGAUAGGAUUUUAAUGUCACUGAUUGAUAUCAUCAAUUCAUCACAUAUUUGUCCAUACACAAUUUUCACUAUAUUAAUCUUUUAGAGGCAUUAUGGUGAACAAUAUAAGGUCUGAUAUGUAUGGAAAUGAAAUGAAAUGGGGUUUAACGUCCUACUUUUCUGCUCCUUUACUGGGCUAAUGAAGACAAGCAUACGCCAUACAGUGUGUUAUGAGGGUAAUUUUGCCCGAGCAGCGGCACUAUCACCUACUCUUAUAUCGAAUUCCAACUGCCAAGGGAUCUUUUACGUGCAUUCUAAUGUGUACAUGGGACCUCGGUUUUUCAUCUCAUCCGAAAGACUAGACAGCUGUCCUUGUCAAGCCUUCCGUUCUGCACCUCUGACAAGGGGAAACCAUGUGGGAAAAUCCAGAUGAACUUUCUAGGCCAAUGCAGGGAUCGAACAUCCGACCUCCAGGCUAGUAAGCCAGCGUCUUAACCACCUAGCCACCGUGGCUCCGCCCAAUAUGUAUGGACGUUUAUAACAAACACAAUAAAGGUGCAUAACUAGAGCGAUAAACUAUAACACAUACUUAUGGAAGAACAAUUACUUAUUUAUUUGGGCAAUGUUUGAAGAAUAAUUCACUCAGCGUUAUAUUCAAUCUUUGAAAUGUGGCCCAAAUUUACCAGUAGCUGUGUUUCCAUUAGUCUGUGUUAUAGUUUAUUUCAUAUUAUCUUGUUCUAGACCGGCUAAAUCUAUUUGUUAAGGUCAGCUCAAUUUUUGUCAAGGUUACUGAGAUGUAAAUAAGGUUAGGUGUAAUACAGUAUCAUUUGGGAUCUAAAUUUCAAUAUUGUAUUCUUAAUUCAUAUUUUAUUUGUAACUCAAUUUUAGACAUAUAUUAAGUGACAGAUUAAUUGUAAGAUUUAAUCUAUAUAUCAGGUGUAGGUUGUUGAAAUAGUAUUAUGUAAGAUUUAAUGGAUUGUACAAACAUGUAUACUCGGAGUGUCUAUAUGAUAUAAGAUUCAGGCUUAACACGUAUUGACACCUUUUGUCUUGAGGUAAGAUGUGUGAAUCUUAAUAAUUACUUUUCAUUUUCCUGAUUACUAAUGGUAUUAACUAUGGCGUGCCUUAACCGAUAUAAAAAGCCUAGUUUACAAGCAGGCAGGGGAAAGUACAAAGAAGGGACAAGAGAGACCCGUAGAGGCUGAGAGGUCUCCCGGACCUUGGGAGAGGGUCUGCCCUCGACACCGGGCAGAGGGGUCCUGUGAGGCCGAGGGGAAGCAGCUAUAGCUAGACGUAACUUUACCCAACCAAAUGAUGUUGUUAUGUACCUGUAAAUAUGUUAUCCAGUAUUAAAAUAUCUUUUAAUAAAU